rnacentral:rRNA from 1 species
UUAGAGGAAGUAAAAGUCGUAACAAGGUUUCCGUAGGUGAACCUGCGGAAGGAUCAUUAUCGAACGAAACGUAGAGUUCGGUUGUAGCUGGCCUGCAAAGGCACGUGCACGCCUUUCUCUUUCAUCCACACACCCCUGUGCACUUGUGAGACGGGGGGCUUCAUGUUCUCUUUAGUCGGGGAGCUGGGCCUCCGUCUGCCUUCAUACAAACUCUUCUACUUAAUACGAAUGUAACCGAUGUUAAACGCAUCUAUAUACAAAGUUUCAACAACGGAUCUCUUGGCUCUCGCAUCGAUGAAGAACGCAGCGAAAUGCGAUAAGUAAUGUGAAUUGCAGAAUUCAGUGAAUCAUCGAAUCUUUGAACGCACCUUGCGCUCCUUGGUAUUCCUUGGAGCAUGCCCGUUUGAGUAUCAUGAAAUUCUCAGAGUAAAUCUUUCGUUGACUCGAUGGACUUUGCUUUGGACUUGGAGGUCUGCAGGUCUUUCACAGUCUGCUCCUCUCAAACACAUUAGCUGGAUCUCAGUGAACUUGGUUCCACUCGGCGUGAUAAGUAUCACUCGCUGAGGACACUCGUAAAAAAGGUGGCCAGGCUUGCGGACGAACCGCUUCUAACGGUCUAUUGACUUAGACAACACGUUUAUGAUCUGAUCUCAAAUCAGGUAGGACUACCCGCUGAACUUAAGCAUAUCAAUA